CCUACGGGUGGCAGCAGCAAGGAAUUUUCGUCAAUGGGCGCAAGCCUGAACGAGCAACGCCGCGUGGAGGACGAAGGCCUUCGGGUUGUAAACUCCUUUUGAGGGGAACGAUGAUGACGGUACCCUUCGAAUAAGCCCCGGCUAACUCUGUGCCAGCAGCCGCGGUAAGACAGAGGGGGCAAGCGUUGUCCGGAGUUACUGGGCGUAAAGCGCACGCAGGCGGUGCGAGUAGUGGUGUGUGAAAGCGUGCGGCUCAACUGCACGAGGCCAUGCCAAACUCUCGCACUCGAGGCCGAGAGAGGUCCGUCGAAUUGCCGGUGUAGUGGUGAAAUGCGUAGAGAUCGGCAGGAAGACCAAAGGUGAAGACAGCGGACCGGCUCGGUACUGACGCUCAGGUGCGAAGGCGUGGGGAGCAAACCGGAUUAGAUACCCCUGUAGUCC
rnacentral:rRNA from 1 species